AUGUUAGUGGCUCUAUCAUGUUAUGGAAACAGACUACAGCUAAGCACAGGCAAAAUCCUAGGGGAAAACCUGGUUGUCUGCUUUCCAAAGACACUUGGGGACAUUCACCAUUCAGCAGGACAAUUACCUAAAACACAAGGCCAAAUAUCCACUGGAGUUGCUGACCAAGAUGACAUUGAAUGUUCCCGAGUGUCCAAUGGUGUGAGUAUUCGUGUGUGUCGUAUGAUUGACAGGUUUAAGAAGUACAAGCAGGCCGGCAGCCAUUCCAACUCCUUCAGGCUGACCAACGGUAGAUCAGAUGAUACAGAGCUCCAGAGUGUGCCGCUAUUGGCCCGCUCGCCUAGCACCAACAGGAAGUACCCACCCCUUGUUGUUGACAAGCUGGAGGAGGAUAUGAAUCGUCGCAUGGCUGAUGACAACAAGCUCUUCCGGGAGGAGUUCAAUGCGCUGCCGGUGUGUCCUAUCCAGGCGUCAUGCGACGCGGCCUCUAAGGAGGAGAACAAGGAGAAGAACCGAUACGUCAACAUCCUGCCAUGUGAGUCCCCAACGCAGAAACUGCUUGUUACCUUAUCCCAAAAAACAUCCGUUGGAAAUACAUUGUCAACGUUGCUUGCCGCUCAUCUAAUCAAGGUUCUGUCUGUUUCAGAUGAUCACUCCAGGGUGCAUCUGUCGUCUCUAGAGGGAGUUCCAGACUCUGACUUCGUCAAUGCGUCCUUCAUCAACGGUUACCAAGAGAAGAACAAGUUCAUUGCAGCUCAAGGGCCAAAGGAGGAGACGGUAAACGACUUCUGGAGAAUGAUCUGGGAACAGAACACCGCCACCAUCGUGAUGGUGACCAACCUGAAGGAGAGAAAAGAGUGUAAGUGUGCCCAGUACUGGCCUGACCAGGGCUGCUGGACCUACGGCAACAUCCGGGUCUCUGUGGAAGACAUGAUGGUGCUGGUGGACUACACUAUCCGCAAGUUCUGCAUCCAACAGGUGGGGGAUGUGGGGGGUAAGAAGCCCCAGCGGCUGGUGACCCAGUUCCACUUCACCAGCUGGCCAGACUUUGGCGUUCCCUUCACACCCAUCGGCAUGCUUAAGUUCCUCAAGAAGGUCAAGACCUGCAACCCCCAGUACUCUGGCCCCAUCGUGGUCCACUGCAGUGCGGGGGUGGGGAGGACAGGUACCUUCAUAGUGAUAGACGCCAUGUUGGAUAUGAUGAACACCGAGAGGAAGGUGGACGUCUUUGGCUUCGUCACGCGCAUCAGAGCCCAGCGCUGCCAAAUGGUCCAGACCGACAUGCAAUACGUGUUCAUCUUCCAGGCCAUGCUGGAGCACUACCUGUACGGAGACACAGAGCUGGAGGUGACCUCCCUGGAGUCCCACCUGGCCAAGCUCUACGCCCCCUCCGCCGCCGGCUGUGGGGGCAUGGAAGCAGAGUUCAAGAAGCUGACCUCCAUCAAGAUCCAGAACGACAAGAUGAGGACGGGCAACCUGCCGGCAAACAUGAAGAAGAACCGAGUUCUCCAGAUCAUCCCAUACGAGUUCAACAGAGUGAUCAAUCCAGUCAAGAGAGGGGAGGAGAGCACGGAUUAUGUCAACGCUUCCUUCAUUGAUGGCUACCGUCAGAAGGACUCGUACAUGGCCAGUCAGGGCCCGCUGCAGCACACCAUCGAAGACUUCUGGAGGAUGAUCUGGGAGUGGAGGAGCUGUUCCAUAGUCAUGCUCACUGAGCUGGAGGAGAGAGGACAGGUAUGGAGAGAUGGACCUUUUACUCAGCCCAGUCAUGCCAUGCCAGAACUGAAGAGGGAGGAGGAGAGUGAGAGCUACACGUUAGAGACCUCCUGGCAGUUCCAUUUUCAUGGCUGGCCGGAGGUGGGCAUCCCCAGCGACGGAAAGGGGAUGAUCAACAUCAUCGCCGCGGUCCAGAAGCAGCAGCAACAAUCUGGCAACCACCCCAUCACUGUCCACUGCAGUGCGGGCGCGGGGCGGACGGGGACCUUCUGUGCCCUGAGUACGGUCCUGGAGCGGGUGAAGGCUGAGGCCAUCCUGGAUGUCUUUCAGACUGUCAAGAGCCUCCGGCUGCAGAGGCCCCACAUGGUGCAGACACUGGAGCAGUACGAGUUCUGCUACAAAGUGGUCCAGGAGUAUAUCGAUGCUUUUUCUGACUACGCCAACUUCAAGUAGGGACCCACACAGGGGACGGACAUCCGUACACAGUCAUAAACACACACCAAACCCACACGUACCCGACGGAAAGAAACAAACUGUUCACGGCUUAGAUGACUGGGCAGCCUGCGUGCACAGAGGAAAAGGGAAUUGAAGUUUUGUGACGGAGCCAAGUGCAGCGCUGCAGUGUACCGGAGGGAGUGAAUAUCAGAGAUGCCUUCUUGAAUAUUUUGUAAUAUUGAGCUUGUUAAUACGGCCCCUUGUACCUACCCCCCCCCACAUCGACACUCCCCAAUCCACCCAAUGUACAUAUACUGUACUUACCCUGUCACAUUUUUUUUUUUUUUUUUAGGUCAAGUUUAAGUUUGGCUGCAUUUUUAGGGUGACAUAAUGUGUUUUAUGGGUAUGUGUGUGUACAUAGACCGUGCCAGUCAAAGGUUUGGACACACUUACUCAUUCAAGGGUUUUUCUUUAUUUGUACUAUUUUCUACAUUGUAGAAUAAUAGUGAAGACACAAACUAUGAAGUAACACAUAUGAAAUCAUGUACUAACCAAAAAAGUGUUAAACAAAUCAAAAUAUAUGGUAUAUUUGAGAUUCUUCAAAGUAGCCAUCCUUUACCUUGAUGACAGCUUUGCAAACUCUUGGUGUUGUCUUAACCUGGAAUGCUUUUCCAACAGUCUUGAAGGAGUUCCCACAUAUGCUGAGCACUUGUUGGCUGCUUUUCCUUCACUCUGCGGUCCAACUCCUCCCAAACCAUCUCAAUUGGGUUGAGGUCAGGUGAUUGUGGAGGCCAGGUCAUCUGAUGCAGCACUCCAUCACUCUCAUUCUUGGUCAAAUAGCCCUUACACAGCCUGGAGGUGUGUGAGGUCAUUGUCCUGUUGAAAAACAAAUGAUACACUCACUAAGCGCAAACCAGAUGAGAUGGCGUAUCACUGCAGAAUGCUGGUUACGCUUGCCUUGUAUUCUAAAUAAAUCACUGACAGUGUCACCA
ensembl:lncRNA